UUUAAGGGUGUUCAAAUCUAAAUCAAUUCAAAUAAAAAUUAUAAUUUGAUUCAAAAAAUCAAAAAUCAUAAAAAACUGAAUAUUAUUAGAUGUAUUUUGAUGUCAUUUUGUAAAAUUGUUCUGUUCGAAUUGGAUUUUAAAUUGAUUUUUCAAAAUCAAUCCUAACCGAAUCGAACCGUGUGUAUAUAUUUGUAUCCUUAUUUUUAUUUAUUAAUAUGAUAGGUUGAGAAUUUAUUAUUUGAUUAUAUUUAUUUUUUAAUAUUAUUUAUUUGUUUAAUU
rnacentral:lncRNA from 1 species